rnacentral:rRNA from 1 species
UACGGAGGGAGCUAGCGUUGUUCGGAAUUACUGGGCGUAAAGCGCACGUAGGCGGCUUUGUAAGUUAGAGGUGAAAGCCCGGGGCUCAACCCCGGAAUAGCCUUUAAGACUGCAUCGCUUGAAUCCGGGAGAGGUGAGUGGAAUUCCGAGUGUAGAAGUGAAAUUCGUAGAUAUUCGGAAGAACACCAGUGGCGAAGGCGGCUCACUGGACCGGUAUUGACGCUGAGGUGCGAAAGCGUGGGGAGCAAACAGG